rnacentral:rRNA from 1 species
UUGAACGCUGGCGGCAGGCCUAACACAUGCAAGUCGAGCGGUAACACAGAGAGCUUGCUCUCGGGUGACGAGCGGCGGACGGGUGAGUAAUGUCUGGGAAACUGCCUGAUGGAGGGGGAUAACUACUGGAAACGGUAGCUAAUACCGCAUAACGUCGCAAGACCAAAGUGGGGGACCUUCGGGCCUCAUGCCAUCAGAUGUGCCCAGAUGGGAUUAGCUAGUAGGUGGGGUAACGGCUCACCUAGGCGACGAUCCCUAGCUGGUCUGAGAGGAUGACCAGCCACACUGGAACUGAGACACGGUCCAGACUCCUACGGGAGGCAGCAGUGGGGAAUAUUGCACAAUGGGCGCAAGCCUGAUGCAGCCAUGCCGCGUGUGUGAAGAAGGCCUUCGGGUUGUAAAGCACUUUCAGCGGGGAGGAAGGCGGUGAGGUUAAUAACCUCAUCGAUUGACGUUACCCGCAGAAGAAGCACCGGCUAACUCCGUGCCAGCAGCCGCGGUAAUACGGAGGGUGCAAGCGUUAAUCGGAAUUACUGGGCGUAAAGCGCACGCAGGCGGUCUGUCAAGUCGGAUGUGAAAUCCCCGGGCUCAACCUGGGAACUGCAUUCGAAACUGGCAGGCUAGAGUCUUGUAGAGGGGGGUAGAAUUCCAGGUGUAGCGGUGAAAUGCGUAGAGAUCUGGAGGAAUACCGGUGGCGAAGGCGGCCCCCUGGACAAAGACUGACGCUCAGGUGCGAAAGCGUGGGGAGCAAACAGGAUUAGAUACCCUGGUAGUCCACGCCGUAAACGAUGUCGAUUUGGAGGUUGUGCCCUUGAGGCGUGGCUUCCGGAGCUAACGCGUUAAAUCGACCGCCUGGGGAGUACGGCCGCAAGGUUAAAACUCAAAUGAAUUGACGGGGGCCCGCACAAGCGGUGGAGCAUGUGGUUUAAUUCGAUGCAACGCGAAGAACCUUACCUGGUCUUGACAUCCACAGAACUUUCCAGAGAUGGAUUGGUGCCUUCGGGAACUGUGAGACAGGUGCUGCAUGGCUGUCGUCAGCUCGUGUUGUGAAAUGUUGGGUUAAGUCCCGCAACGAGCGCAACCCUUAUCCUUUGUUGCCAGCGGUUCGGCCGGGAACUCAAAGGAGACUGCCAGUGAUAAACUGGAGGAAGGUGGGGAUGACGUCAAGUCAUCAUGGCCCUUACGACCAGGGCUACACACGUACUACAAUGGCAUAUACAAAGAGAAGCGACCUCGCGAGAGCAAGCGGACCUCAUAAAGUAUGUCGUAGUCCGGAUUGGAGUCUGCAACUCGACUCCAUGAAGUCGGAAUCGCUAGUAAUCGUAGAUCAGAAUGCUACGGUGAAUACGUUCCCGGGCCUUGUACACACCGCCCGUCACACCAUGGGAGUGGGUUGCAAAAGAAGUAGGUAGCUUAACCUUCGGGAGGGCGCUUACCACUUUGUGAUUCAUGACUGGGGUG